GGUUGGCUUAGAAGCAGCCAUCCUUUAAAGAAAGCGUAAUAGCUCACUGGUCAAGCGGUCCGGUGCCGACAAUUUAACGGGGCUUAAGCUUGUUACCGAAGCAGCGAAUGCAUCGAUUCACAUCGAUGCGUGGUAGGAGAGCAUUCCCAACGAUUUGAAGCCAGACUGAAAAGACUGGUGGAUUGUUGAGAAGAGACCCUGCCGGCAUAAGUAGCGAUAACGGAGGUGAGAACCCUCCGCGCCGAAAGUCUAAGGUUUCCUGAGAAAGGUUAAUCCGCUCAGGGUCAGGCGGUCCCUAAGGCGAGGCCGAAAGGCGUAGUCGAUGGACAUCCGGUUAAUAUUCCGGACCUCCCUUGUUUUCGUUAUACGAUGGGGUGACGCAGUAGGAUAAGCAGGCCGUUCUAUGGCUAUAACGGUCGAUGCGUGUAAGGUGUUUCUCGUAGGCAAAUCCGCGAGGAAGUUAUCACUGAGACGCAAAGCAGUACUCCGUAUGGAGGAAAGCUGCCGAUUCCACACUGCCAAGAAAAACCUCUAAGGAGAACGUAAGGGAACCGUACCUCAAACCGACACAGGUAGACGAGGAGAAUAUCCAAAGGCGCUCGUGAGAACAGUUGGUAAGGAACUCGGCAAUAUAACCCCGUAACUUCGGGAGAAGGGGUGCCUCACUAGGGUUCAUAGCCCGAAGAGGCCGCAGCGAAAUGCGCACUGCGACUGUUUAACAAAAACACAGGUCUCUGCAAAGUCGAAAACGACGUAUAGGGGCUGACGCCUGCCCGGUGCUGGAAGGUUAAAGGGAGAGGUUAGCCGCAAGGCGAAGCUUCGAACUGAAGCCCCAGUGAACGGCGGCCGUAACUAUAACGGUCCUAAGGUUAACGAUUCGCUAGCCUUAGUAAAAUCUGGCUAUAUGCUGGAAGGUCUGAGUAUCCCACGCUACGCGAAAGCAAUUUCGCGUGACAAUGCGGUGGGUGCAGAUAAUCAGCAGGAAAGGUCAGUGGAAGAAGAUCUCUACUGAAAUCCUCAGAGACUAUAUGCCAGAUUCCAACGAAAAGUUUGUUGGAAAAGAUAUAGUCCGAACUGCAUGGCGACAUGCAGAGAGUGGCAGAAAUGUCCACUCCUCUCCACGCAUCAUCGAUGAAGUUGGAAAGAGCGACCCUCAGCGGCUAAAGCCGAACGUAGGGCGGCUUCCAACGGCACGACUAGAAGUCGUGCCCUUCCCAAAACAACUGAUGGUGAGCGAGGCGUAACAAAGUUGAGCGAAAUUCCUUGUCGGGUAAGUUCCGACCUGCACGAAUGGCGUAACGAAAGUGCGACUGUCUUGCCAACUGACACGGCGAACUUGUAGUGCCGGUGAAGAUGCCGGUUGCCCGCAACUAGACGGAAAGACCCCGUGCACCUUUACUAUACCUUUACUAUGAACUAUGGCACUUGCUGCGCAGGAUAGGUGGGAGGCUUUGAUUCCAGGCUCUCGGGCUUGGAGGAGCCAACGGUGAGAUACCACCCUGCGAGAUCUGUGGUUCUAACUUACUCCCGUUACCCGGGAGAGGGACAUGGUAAGGCGGGUAGUUUGACUGGGGCGGUCGCCUCCUAAACAGUAACGGAGGCGCGCGAAGCUACGCUCAGGCUGUUUGGAAAUCAGCCGACGAGUGCAAAAGCAUAAGCGUGGUUGACUGCGAGUCCUACAAGACGAGCAGGUACGAAAGUAGGCUUUAGUGAUCCGGUGGUUCUGCAUGGAAGGGCCAUCGCUCAACGGAUAAAAGGUACGCCGGGGAUAACAGGCUGAUCGGAGCCAAGAGUUCAUAUCGACGCUCCGGUUUGGCACCUCGAUGUCGGCUCAUCGCAUCCUGGAGCUGUAGAAGGUUCCAAGGGUUAGGCUGUUCGCCUAUUAAAGCGGUACGUGAGCUGGGUUCAGAACGUCGCGAGACAGUUCGGUCCCUAUCUGUUGUGGGCGCAGGAGAUUUGAGAGGACCUGUCCUUAGUACGAGAGGACCGGGAUGGACGAACCUCUUGUGUUCGAGCUGUCAUGCCAAUGGCACCGCUCGGUAGCGAAGUUCGGUUGUGAUAACCGCUGAAGGCAUAUAAGCGGGAAGCACUCCUCAAGAUGAGAUCUCCCAACCCGUAAGGGAUAA
rnacentral:rRNA from 1 species